CCCAUAUGGGCGUUUUAACAGUUGAUAUGCCAUUUUUCCCCCCUAGCUUAAAAUGAGUACGCCCACGAGAAGAAGUAAAAUAAGCUAGAACCAUUAUUAUACCCCCGACCCCAUUUGAAGGGGCAUUGCGGUUGUAAAAUGGGGGUUUUCAAGGAAUAACGGUGGCGUAGGGGAAAUUGAGACGAGCCAAACAGAGAAAAGAAUAACUCAGCCAUGACCAACAAGGCAGUCAGCCGCAGCGACAAUUUCAGUAGGAUUAUUUCUGCAGUCAGAUUCGAAAUAUCCCGCGCAAUGUGUGUCGGCGCUGUUUUUCUGUUCGGAGUAGCCGCGCCUUGGUGCUGCAGAGGACGCCGAAGUCGGAACUACGCGCGGAGGAACACCAGCCUUCGGAGCGCGCGCGCGCGCGUUGAAGCAGCUUUCAGCGACGGCAAUUCGACCAGCGACGGCACAUUCUUCUACCGUGGUUGAUGUUUCUCACUGCUUUGAACCCCCAAGACUCCACGGACUGCGGCUGCGGUCGUUUCAUUGCCAACUGUGAGGAUGAAGCAGCUUCAUGGCCGGAGAUCGGGCGCCUCCCAUCAGUUUCCCUUUUCAGCAAUAGAGGCCUUGGAGGCCUUUCUACCUGCGUUGCAUCCUGUGGCUGGACCACUCCCACGAUCUAGGCAGAAUCGUUACACAGGAAGAAGUCUGGCUGGCCCCAAGCCUGGUGCAAAAUGAAGAAAUGGCACUCCACAUCAAUUCAUGUUUACUUGUCGUCAUAACCAGUCUGUUAGCUUAAUUUUUGGUUCUUCCUAUUGAAUUCUCAAGAAACGUACCAACUCUGUCAUUCACUCUGCAAACAAAUUUUUGCACUUGGGGAUGCAGCCAUGCACAAAGCCUUUGAGCUCAUUAAUAUCUUUAUUUUUUAAAGAAAGUGCAGCUGCUGCGUGGAACAGUAUUUUAUUUACUUAAUGAAAUGCAGAUGUGCUAUCCAAUUACUUUAUUUUGAUCCCCGUUUUAUAAUUGGACAGCAUGGUUCCUCAGAGAGAAUAAUAAUUCGAAGCUCACACAAUUUUGCUCCUUUAUGUCCGUUAAAUCUGUCCUGGUUGCUACACUAUCAGCCCUGUCUGCAAUUGCGUAGCAGUGUUUUGAGCAUGCCUCCAAAUUCAAAAGAAUAGUUAGGCUUCUACCUCAGAAUGUUUGCUACUGUGUUGCAGCUCGAAUUCUAUGUCUAGGUGGUCACUGUGAUGCCAUGUGCUUUUUAAAUAAGACCAAUAUGCUAUUUGAAGGGCAAUUAAAUGCAAUCUCAAAUGACCUCAGCUCGGGGAAUGACACAAUUGGAGGUCAAUGUGAUAAGGAGGAUUUGAUUUCUGAAAACAAGGCACUUAAACGGGAGAAAGCAUGACUAAUUUCGUAUAAAGAUGCUGCUUUUGGAUAUGAUCAGGGAAGGUACUUGUUCGUGACUGCAUUUGCAACAUGUUACAUUGCUGGCUUUAUAUAUUGCACUGGGUACAGUGAAAUGUUGCUGCUUGCACAAUAUUCAACUAAACAUGGUAGCCAUGCUAAUGUGUCCAUGCAGAACACAACUCAUCCACUAUUAUGGACUACAGUGGAAUCUCGAUAAACGAAAAUCGCUUCGAAACUGCCGCUUAAAUAGGACACUAUCCUGAUAAUUGGUUGGCUCUCUGCAAUGUCUCUCAGUAAAUAUAAUGCCUGGUAAAUGGAACCAAUUUCCCUGGCACCUUGAGGCUCCAUUUAAAGAGCACCCACUGUAAAAAUAUAGGGGGGAUCGUGUUUGGAACUUUCGUAAAUGUAGUCUUAAACAAAACCGCAUUUCAGUGGGAGCGAAAUGCAAAAGCACCUGUGUACUUAGACAGGUGCAUGUUAAAGAACCCCAGGUUGUCCAAAUUAAUUCGGGUUACUUGCUAUUGCAUGUGUCAUAAUCAGAAGGUGGGUUCUGGUUCAUAAAAUACAAUAAUUUUUAAUAGCUUGCUCAGAAAUCCAGCACUAAAUUAUGUAGCUUGUUUGUGUGAUGAGUCCCAAUUUCUUAAUUUAGUACUUUGACAUUUAUCAUAUUUGUGUGCUAGUCCAUGCAAAAUACCACUGAUCGGCCUCAUUAUACCAGCCACUGUUAAUUAGGAAUGGCUUAGUCAAGCAACUUAAACUUACAGCACAAACACCUAAGACGAACCACAAAAGGAAGAUACGACACACACUGGUGCUAACUUCUUUAUUUCUUCGUCGUCGAUGCAAUAUAAACCCUAGGCCACACUACCGCGCAGGCACUCAGAUUACAUUACAGAGAUCUGCCAAAUUAUCACAUACGCAAGCGUAGGAAGUCAAAUUCAGAUGGAUGCAGGGACAAAGAUAUCUUACUAAUGCAAUUAUCGCCCUGCCUUUCUUGUGGUAAGCCUCUAAGGCAAGCUGCACAUGCUCAUUCUUGCUUUUGCCAAGAAUCGACGUCCCAUCAAGUUGUGCCUCACAAUUGUUGCAAGAGUUUAUAUGCGCACCAAGGUGCGCUCCUCUAUCUACAUUUUUGUUUACUUGUUGCGCAUGUUCCCUGAGUCGCUCAUUGAUGCAAUGCCCUAUCUAGCCAAGCUAUGUCUUAGCACAUGAGAGUGAAUUGUAUAAACCACGCCGACCGCGCACAACACGUAUGAAGCAUCAUGCCGAAUUCGGUGUCCUCCUCUGCCCUCUCCGCAGGUGCGGGAGCAUAGCUAGGAACACUAUGCCUGCAAGCAAUUUUCUUGAGUUGAUAGAUGACCUUAUGUGUUUAAGGGACCACGCAGGGAACAUGCACAAAAAGUAAACAAAAAUGUAGAUAGAAGAGUGCACAUUGUUGCGCAUAUAAACUCUUGCAAAAAUUGUGAGGCAUGACUUGAUGGGACGUCGAUUCUUGGCAAAAGCAUGAAUGAGCUUGCGCGGCUUGCCUUAGAGGCCUACGACAUAAAAAGGCAAAAUGAUAAUUGCAUCACUGACAUAGCUUUGUCCCUGCACCCAUCUGAAUUUGAGUUCCUACGUUUGCAUAUGUGAUAAUUUGGGAGAUCUCUGUAAUGUAAUGUGUGCGCCUGUGCAGUUGUGUGGCCUAGGGCAUAUAUAUGCAUCGACGACGAAGAAAUAAAGAAGUUGUCAGUUAGUGCCAGCGUGUGUCGUAUCUGCCUUUUGCGGUUCGUCUUAGGUGUUUGCGCUGUAAGUUUUAAGUUCAGAAUUAUGUGCCAACUAGGCCAAAUGAAGUUUUACUCUUAGUCAAGCGAGCUCAAUAUAUAGUCUGUGCAAAAGUGUGGAGCGUCAGUACAAAGUAACAGUUCAAACACAUGGCUCUGUAGUUACAGUUCAGUAUGAAACGAGAUAAGAUUUCUUAGCAUUUCUUUCAUUUACUAAUUUCAUUGUAUUAGGACAUGUAGAAUACUAGCAACUGGCAUGCUUACAAUGUACAGUGCUCUUUUUUAAAAUCCAGACAAUUGUUUUACUGGGGCAGAAAUGUGCUUUCUUUUGGGCCCGGAAGUGAACAUAUUAUAUUUCUUACAUUUGGUGUAAAAUAAAUUUUCUUCACUGUCA